rnacentral:misc_RNA from 1 species
UACGAGUGCCUCGAGCGUUAUCCGGAAUCAUUGGGCGUAAAGGGUGCGUAGGUGGCUUUGUUAGUCUCUCGUUAAAUUCUUCGGCUUAACCGGGGGCAUGCGAGGGAAACGGCAAGGCUUGAGGGUGCAAGGGGUCUCUGGAACUCUAGGUGUAGCGGUGAAAUGCGUUGAUAUCUAGGGGAACACCAAAAGCGAAGGCAAGAGACUGGGGCAUUCCUGACACUGAAGCACGAAAGCGUGGGUAGCGAAUGGG